UACGUAGGGGGCAAGCGUUGUCCGGAUUUAUUGGGCGUAAAGAGCGUGUAGGCGGCUUUGCAAGUCCGUUGUGAAAACUCGAGGCUCAACCUCGAGACGCCGGUGGAAACUGCAAAGCUAGAGUCCGGAAGAGGAGGGUGGAAUUCCUGGUGUAGCGGUGAAAUGCGCAGAUAUCAGGAAGAACACCCGUGGCGAAGGCGGCUCUCUGGGACGGUACUGACGCUGAGGUGCGAAAGCGUGGGGAGCAAACAGG
rnacentral:rRNA from 1 species